CCUGAGGAGGGCGACAGUCUCCAUGGCGAUCUGCCAGAAUUCUGUGCGCAAGCUGUCCACGGGCUCCUUUUCCAUCAGCGCCUGCAGAGCACAAGCAGGAUGAGACCUUGGAGCCGCCGGCACCCAGCAGCAGCAGAGCCAGCGCUGCCCCAGCCCUCGCCUCCCAGGGGGCUGGUGCCGGGGGGCCUUGCCCCUUCCCCAACCCGCUGCACAUCCUCUCACCAUGAUGUGCUCCACCAGCCACAAAGACACCAACAGAGCAUUAGGGGGACACCCACGGCCAUCAGGACCAAAGCCUUGAGGGGUCUGGGGCUGUGUGGGACCCCUGGAGGGCAGCUCCAGGAGCACUGCUGCGAUGCAAGUAGCUGCCAUUACCUUUUCUUUCCGUCUGACAUAUGCCCUGAUAGAUUGCACAGCCGAGUUUCUGCGCAGUUUCCAUAUAUUACCUGGAAAGGACGAAAGCAAAGAGUGCUGCAGAGAGGGGCUGAAUGCAGGGGUGAGGAGAGGAAGGGCCCCAGCCCCAGAAGGACGUGGGGAGGCCGCGGGGAUGCCCAGAGGCUGCAGCAGCUCCGCUGGGAAGAGAGGCUGAGGGAGCUGGGCUUGUGGAGCCUGGAGAAGGCUGCGGGGGGACCUCGCUGCAGCCUCCCCGUGCCCAAAGGGGCUUCCAGGAAAGCUGGAGGGGGAUCUUCAUCAUGGACUGCAGUGACAGGACAAGGGGUGACAGCUUUAACCUCAAAGAGGGCAGGUUUCUUUUGGCCAGGCAGGGAUUUCUCUCCUUCACGCCCAGGGCAGUGAGGCCUUGGCGCAGGCUGCGGUGCCCCCUCCCUGGCACUGCCCACGGCCAGGCUGGGUGGGCUUUGGGCAGCAUGGGCUGGGGGGAAGCAUUGUGAUCGCCGAGGUCCCCCCCAGCCCAGAGCGUCCUGGGAUUCUGUGGUGCUGCGGAGGAAGCUCAGUCCCGUCAGCCCAAGCGCCACUUUACCCAGGAAAGGAGUCCUGGAGUCAAGCUGCGGUCUCUGUGUCCCCAACCCUCCCCACCCCAUCCCUAAGACUCACUGGAAUCCAGCAGCUGCGACUUCUUCUUGCUAUCCUGUGUCGAACCGCUGUCCUCAACCACUAAGCUGUCCUCUACCGGUCUCCUGUCCUGUGCCGGGCUGCUGCCCACUUCCUGAGAAAUGGCCUCUGCCAGGCUGCUGUCCUCUACCGGCAAAAUGGCCUUGACUGGGGUUUUGUCCUCUGCCAGCAAGCUGUCCUCUGCUGGCUGGUUGCUGCCCCUAGAAGACCAGGUCUCCUGCCAGGCCAGCCUGGGCUGCCUGGGGGGCAUGCCUCCCUCCUCAUCCCAUUCAGAAGCAGCCUCUGAAGUGGGAGAGCUCGCAAGGUUAAAAGGGCGGCUCGUCUGGGUGGGUGGUUGCGGCAUUGUGGGACUUGGACUGCGCUCAGGGUCUCCUUGAGGCUCCUGUGCUCCUUCCAUAUCCGUCGCUGCCGUGCACCGACACUGAGGGUCCGAGCCACGGCUGCGCUCUUAUAAGGCGGAGCCCUGGCGUGUCACCAAGUGACGUCACAAUGGGUGCCACUGUGGCACGUGCCUGGGCUGGGUGGGCACCCAUUGUGACGUCACUUCGUGACACCCCAGGGCUCCACCUUAUAAGAGCACAGCCAUGGCUCGGACGCUCAGUGUUGGUGCACGGCAGUGACGGACAGGGCAGGAGCACAGGGCCUUCGAGGAGUCCCCGAGCAUAGCCCACGUCCCACAAUGCCGCAACCGCCCGCCCAGAGGAGCCGCUAUUUUCUCUUUGAG
rnacentral:lncRNA from 1 species